rnacentral:rRNA from 1 species
AGCUCCAAUAGCGUAUAUUAAAGUUGUUGCAGUUAAAAAGCUCGUAGUUGGAUUUCUGGCAAUGCGCUGAUGUCGGCCGUGUGCUCGUGCAGACGCGCGUUUCCAUCCUUCUGUUAACGUUUCUUGGUAUUCAUUUACUGGUUUCGGGCUCAGAUAUUUUACCUUGAGAAAAUUAGAGUGUUCAAAGCAGGCAUUACGCGCCCGAAUACAUGAGCAUGGAAUAAUGGAAUAGGACUUUGGUUCUAUUUUGUUGGUUUCCUGGACCGAAGUAAUGAUUAAGAGGGACAAUUGGGGGCGUCCGUAUUUCGUUGUCAGAGGUGAAAUUCUUGGAUUUACGAAAGACGAACAACUGCGAAAGCAUUCGCCAAGAGUGUUUUCAUUAAUCAAGAACGAAAGUAGG